GCUUGAAAUUACUUUUGAAUACGCUCUAGAAUCAAUUAAAAUUUUACGUUUUUCGUUAUAAAGGUAAAAAAUAAGGUUUUAAACGAGCUUUGCGAUCUAUCCCAACGCUGACCAGCCCCUUUGUCAGAAAAAACAGUGAUCUUUCACAAGCUACCAUGGACGAACGGAACGGAAUGUUUUCAUUUUCCAUCACGUACUAAGGAAUAUGACAAGAAAAAAUGGUCUUUCAAAAAAAUUGGAUUUCCAUUAGUGGUUAAGCGGCCAAAGCAGUUUAUUUACAAACUAGUCGUUCCAGCUCUAGGUUGAAAUCGAACCUGGAGCUGCGAAACCUGAGGCUGACUGGCUCGUCAUUCGAGCGCAGCAAACAAUAAGCUACUAAUUACACUGGCCUGUAGGCCAAGUGUCUUAAAUCCCUCUUUUUCUGUUUUUUCAUGGCGUUUUUUCGUAGUCGAGAAAUCGAGUUUGCGUUAGCUCAUCGCAGGCGUUGCUGAUCAUGAUUGUAUUUAUUGGUUGUAUUUAUAUGGUCCAGACCUCCUGCAUCCCUAUCUA